rnacentral:rRNA from 1 species
UUGAAAGGGAAACGAUUGAAGUCAGUCGUACCUGUGGGUAAUCAGCCUUUUGGGUGUGAUUUUGUGGAGUGUGAGGAGUUAAACGCCUUCAUGCCUGCAUAUUCGUGCACUUUGGGUGUAUUUACCCGUGUGGUAAGUUAACAUCAAUUUCGGUGAUCAUAAAAUGGCUGGAGGAAUGUAGCUUCGAUCUUGUAUUGAAGUGUUAUAGCCUUUGGUAAAUGUGAUGAUUAGGAUCGAGGAUUGCAACGAAUACCCUUUUGGGCUAUCCGCCUGAUCUCUGAUACGUGGCCUUGGUAUCGAAAGCUUGCUUACGGUUAUCAAAGUCGACGGUCAAAAGGUUAGAACGGGUUAAAUUCGUUAAGGAUGUUGACGUA